CUCCAGAGGCUCGCAAGAUGGAAUCCCGAACUCCGGGAUUCCUGCAAAACAGGCCUACGUCACUCCCACAAUUGUGCCACAGGAGCCUUCUCCCGGAAAACUGAAGAACCUUGUGAGGUUAAUCCUCACAUAACAUCGUUUAAAGCGUCCGGGGCCUCGAGCUAACCAUUGAGGUGAUGUGGGCUAUGCGUGUUGGUUUACUCUCGUACUCCUAAGAAUUAUUAUUUGAGGGGGUUAGACGUAGGGAUUAGCGGCUGUGCAACGUACCUUUCACGAGAUGUGGCCUCAGUUCCUCCACGGCGGCCAUUACACAUUCGUCGAGCUUCGGGUCUGAUCGGCGACACACCUUGAGGAACGGAGCUGCAACACGCAUGCGUAGAGUGAGAAUGAAGACGAGUCAGUGUAUGCGUAAAUAGAUAAUGACGUCAUAUAACAGUAAUAAUCAUCUCUGUCUGGUGUCGAAGUUAAGAAUGCGUGGAGCUUUGCCUCCUCUAGACUGGGGCCUGCCUCGUCCAUCCAGUGGUGAGCUACUAGCCUAGUAUUAAAAUAUCCUGGGUUCGACCCAAACCUGUGUCAUUAAUAUUAAAAUAAAACAAUAUAAAUUCUGUCGGUGUGACGAUAAUCGACUAGAG